rnacentral:rRNA from 1 species
UACGGAGGGUGCAAGCGUUACUCGGAAUCACUGGGCGUAAAGAGCGCGUAGGCGGGAUAGCAAGUCAGAUGUGAAAUCCUAUGGCUUAACCAUAGAACUGCAUCUAAAACUGGAUGGCUGGAGUGCAGGAGAGGUGAGCGGAAUUCCUAGUGUAGCGGUGGAAUGCGUAGAUAUUAGGAGGAACACCAGAGGCGAAGGCGGCUCACUGGACUGUAACUGACGCUGAGGCUCGAAAGCGUGGGGAGCAAACAGG